GAGAGAAAGAUCUAGAGAGAGAGAGAAAGACAGAUCUGAGACAGAGAGGAGAUGGUGGUGGCCGAGCCUGAUCAAUCCCUCGGAGCUGAUCAGGUGAAGCCGGGGGAGAAUUUCAGCAGCGACAAAAAGAGGAAGCAGCACGGGAAGAGCAAGAAGAAGAGAAGCGGCAAAGAGGGCAAGACGAUGAAGAGCUAUCGUCUGGUUCAUUUCAA
rnacentral:misc_RNA from 1 species